CCAAGCCCCAUUCCUUUUUUUUUUUUUAAGAGACAGGGUUCUCACUCUGUUGCCCAGGUUGGAGUGCAGUGAUGGGAUCAUUGCUCACUGCAGCCUCCAGCUCCCAGGCUCAACUGGUCCUCCCAUUGCAGCCUUCCCAGUGGCUUGGACUACAGGUGUGAGCCACCAGGCCUGGCUAAUUUUUUUUUUUUUAUAGAGAUGGGGUCUCCCCAUGUUGCCCAGGCCGGUCUCAAACUCAAGCAAUCUUCCCCACUGGGUUCAAGUGAUCCUCCUGCCUUAGCCUCUCAAAAGUGCUAGGAUUAUAGGCAUCAGCCACUAUGCCUGGCCUUUUUUUUCCCCACUCUUGAGACAGAUUAAUAAAUUUCUUAUUUAUUUAUUUGAGGCAGGGGCUUGCUCUGUUGCCUAGGUUGGAGUACAGUGGCAGAAUCAUAACUCACUGUAGCCUCAAACUCCCGGGCUCAAGUGAUCCCCCCGCCUCCGCCCAUCAUCACACCCAGCUCCCGUUCCUUUUCUGGUACUAAUUCACCUGAAAUGUGCCUGAGCCAUUGAUUCUAGGAAAAAUGCCCUUUUAGGUGUUGCUUGCAAAGCCAGGCUCACAUGCUGACUCAGUCACUGCCCAGCAGAUGUUCCCCACAACAUUUCUCAACCCAGAAUUGGGACUGAGGUCUGGCACAGAAUGGGUUAAAAGAUUCCCUUCUGGGCUGGGAGUGGUGGAAACAGAGAGUGAUUGCUGAUGAGUAUGGAGUUUCUUUUUGGGGUGGUAAAACAUUCUGGAAUUAAAUAGAGGUGAUAAUUAUACAACUUUGUGAAUCUAUCAGAAACCACUGAAUUGUACACUUUUAAAGGGUGAAGUUUAUGCUAUAUGAAUUAUAUCUCAAUUAAAUAUAUAUAAUAACAAAGUCUUUAUAGUAAUAUUUUAAAAGCUUAUUGAAUCACAAGCAUUUUUUUAUUUUACUGUAAAAAC
rnacentral:lncRNA from 1 species